UGUAUAUAUAUAUUAAACUGCUUAAUCCUUUUAUUACAGUAUUCCAGUGGUUUUAAACAAUGAUUGUGGUUUAACUUCAUCAAAUACAGAAAUAAAUCUUCAGGAUGAGAAUAUUUUUACUGCAAGUCAAAAUAAUGUUUGUACAAAAAAAUUAGAAGAUUACAAUGAUGAUAGUGAUAAAUUAUGGACCAUCCCUGAAACGAAAUUUCUGUUGGAUAAAUACAAUUCAUACCUUUCAUUAGUGGGUCCAAUGAAAAGGUACAAAACUAAAAAAGCCAUGUGGAACCGAAUUGCCCAAGAUUUAAAGGAAAUUUUGAACAUUGAACGGACUGGUGUGCAAUGUAAAAAUAGAUAUAAAACGGUUAUAAA